rnacentral:rRNA from 1 species
GAUUGAAAUGGGCGAAGCCUGAUCCAGCCANNCCGCGUGAGNGAAGAAGGCCUUCGGGUUNCCAAGCUCUUUNAGACGGAAAGAAAUCGCCCUGGCGAAUACCCGGGGUGGAUGACNUUNCCGUAAGAAGAAGCACCGGCUAACUACGUGCCAGCAGCCGCGGUAAUACGUAGGGUGCGAGCGUUAAUCGGAAUUACUGGGCGUAAAGCGUGCGCAGGCGGCUUUGCAAGACAGGUGUGAAAUCCCCGGGCUCAACCUGGGAAUGGCGCUUGUGACUGCAAGGCUAGAGUUCGGCAGAGGGGGGUGGAAUUCCACGUGUAGCAGUGAAAUGCGUAGAGAUGUGGAGGAACACCGAUGGCGAAGGCAGCCCCCUGGGUCGCGACUGACGCUCAUGCACGAAAGCGUGGGGAGCAAACAGGAUUAGAUACCCUGGUAGUCCACGCCCUAAACGAUGUCGACUAGGUGUUGGGGAAGGAGACUUCCUUANUACCGUAGCUAACGCGUGAAGUCGACCGCCUGGGGAGNACGGCCGCAAGGUUAAAACUCAAAAAAAUUGACGG